AGAUGGCGACCGGCGCACGGGUGAGUAACACGUAUCCAACCUGCCGAUAACUCGGGGAUAGCCUUUCGAAAGAAAGAUUAAUACCCGAUGGCAUAAUAGAACCGCAUGGUUUGAUUAUUAAAGAAUUUCGGUUAUCGAUGGGGAUGCGUUCCAUUAGGCAGUUGGUGGGGUAACGGCCCACCAAACCUUCGAUGGAUAGGGGUUCUGAGAAGAAGGUCCCCCACAUUGGAACUGAGACACGGUCCAA
rnacentral:rRNA from 1 species